GAUGAACGCUGGCGGCGUGCCUAAUACAUGCAAGUCGAGCGAACGGACGAGAAGCUUGCUUCUCUGAUGUUAUCGGCGGACGGGUGAGUAACACGUGGAUAACCUACCUAUAAGACUGGGAUAACUUCGGGAAACCGGAGCUAAUACCGGAUAAUAUUUUGAACCGCAUGGUUCAAAAGUGAAAGACGGUCUUGCUGUCACUUAUAGAUGGAUCCGCGCUGCAUUAGCUAGUUGGUAAGGUAACGGCUUACCAAGGCAACGAUGCAUAGCCGACCUGAGAGGGUGAUCGGCCACACUGGAACUGAGACACGGUCCAGACUCCUACGGGAGGCAGCAGUAGGGAAUCUUCCGCAAUGGGCGAAAGCCUGACGGAGCAACGCCGCGUGAGUGAUGAAGGUCUUCGGAUCGUAAAACUCUGUUAUUAGGGAAGAACAUAUGUGUAAGUAACUGUGCACAUCUCGACGGUACCUAAUCAGAAAGCCACGGCUAACUACGUG
rnacentral:rRNA from 1 species